AGUUUUCUUUCUGUGGUGGGGCAAAUACUUUAUUAGCAAUAUGCAUUGUUGUAUCUGUCAAGCACUACCAAUCAGAACAUCAAUAUUUCUUUUAAAAUGGCAACUCAACAUCACCCAAUUUUUUUAUUACAGAACUAGCUCAUGGCAUGUUAGCAAAAACAUUAUCUUAUAUUUCAACGCAAUAGAACUUGAAAGUCAAAAAUAGGAACUUUAAAUAUAAAUAUGUAGACAUCACCCAAAAAAAUCCAAUUAACUAGUAUAAUAUUUUUGAAGGAAAAAAAAUUGUUUUGUAUAAGAAACCCUCCAAUCUAUUUGACCAAUUAACCCACAGGUGAACAUACCCACCCCAAUAACAUACUCUCUAACCUCAUUAAUCUGGUAUUUACCUCAUAAUAUAUAAGACCAGAAUUUAAUCCCUUGCAUCUCUUUCAAAAUUCUAGUAUUUAAAAAAAUUAGGUAGCAGGGUGGUGGAAACUAAAGAUAAUGAGGACAAAGGGAAUGAAAUAAAAUGUAAAGAACAACACAUUAUUUGGAAAUUUAAAAACAAUAUAAAGGGAAAUGGUUAAUGAAUGCAAAAGCAUUUAAAAUAAUCCUUAAUCCCUUACUUAAGAUUAACAAAAGCAGAUAAGAGAUUAAUAGACUUAAAUAUCAAAACUCCAUUCAUACUUCCUUUUCCUCUCAAAUUAAAUCUCAGACAAAAUUAAGAAGUAAAAAA
rnacentral:misc_RNA from 1 species